GAAUGCUGACAUAAGUAACGAUAAAGCGGGUGAAAAGCCCGCUCGCCGGAAGACCAAGGGUUCCUGUCCAACGUUAAUCGGGGCAGGGUGAGUCGACCCCUAAGGCGAGGCCGAAAGGCGUAGUCGAUGGGAAACGGGUUAAUAUUCCCGUACUUGGUGUUACUGCGAAGGGGGGACGGAGAAGGCUAUGUUGGCCGGGCGACGGUUGUCCCGGUUUAAGCGUGUAGGUGUGUGUUCCAGGUAAAUCCGGUUCACUUUAACACUGAGGCGUGACGACGAGGCACUACGGUGCUGAAGCAACAAAUGCCCUGCUUCCAGGAAAAGCCUCUAAGCAUCAGGUAACAUCAAAUCGUACCCCAAACCGACACAGGUGGUCAGGUAGAGAAUACCAAGGCGCUUGAGAGAACUCGGGUGAAGGAACUAGGCAAAAUGGUGCCGUAACUUCGGGAGAAGGCACGCUGACACGUAGGUGAAGUGAUUUACUCAUGGAGCUGAAGUCAGUCGAAGAUACCAGCUGGCUGCAACUGUUUAUUAAAAACACAGCACUGUGCAAACACGAAAGUGGACGUAUACGGUGUGACGCCUGCCCGGUGCCGGAAGGUUAAUUGAUGGGGUCAGCGCAAGCGAAGCUCCUGAUCGAAGCCCCGGUAAACGGCGGCCGUAACUAUAACGGUCCUAAGGUAGCGAAAUUCCUUGUCGGGUAAGUUCCGACCUGCACGAAUGGCGUAAUGAUGGCCAGGCUGUCUCCACCCGAGACUCAGUGAAAUUGAACUCGCUGUGAAGAUGCAGUGUACCCGCGGCAAGACGGAAAGACCCCGUGAACCUUUACUAUAGCUUGACACUGAACAUUGAGCCUUGAUGUGUAGGAUAGGUGGGAGGCUUUGAAGCGUGGACGCCAGUCUGCGUGGAGCCGACCUUGAAAUACCACCCUUUAAUGUUUGAUGUUCUAACGUGGACCCGU
rnacentral:rRNA from 3 species